rnacentral:rRNA from 1 species
UACAGAGGUCCCAAGCGUUGUUCGGAUUCACUGGGCGUAAAGCGUGCGUAGACGGUUAUGUAAGUCAGGUGUGAAAGCCCCGGGCUACCAACCUGGGAAUGGCAUUUGAGACUGCAUAGCUAGGGUGCGGAAGAGGGAAGCGGAAUUUCCGGUGAUAGCGGUGAAAUGCGUAGAUAUACGGAAGGAACAUCAGUGGCGAAAGGCGGCUUCCUG